rnacentral:misc_RNA from 1 species
AGCAGCCGCGGUAAUUCCAGCUCCAAUAGCGUAUAUUAAAGUUGUUGCAGUUAAAAAGCUCGUAGUUGAAUUUCGGGAUUGACACAUCGGUCGUGCCUUAAGGAGUAUGAACUGGUGUAGUCAAUUUCUCACCUUCUGGAGAACCGCGAUGCCCUUAAUUGGGUGUCGCGGGGAACCAGGACCUUUACUUUGAAAAAAUUUAGAGUGUUUAAAGCAGGCAUUUUGCUUGAAUACAUUAGCAUGGAAUAAUAAAAUAGGACGGCAUGAUUCUAUUUUGUUGGUUUCUAGGAUCACCGUAAUGAUUAAUAGGGAUAGUUGGGGGGCAUUAGUAUUCAAUUGUCAGAGGUGAAAUUCUUGGAUUUAUUGAAGACUAACUACUGCGAAAGCAUUUGCCAAGGAUGUUUUCAUUAAUCAAGAACGAAAGUUAGGGGAUCGAAGACGAUCAGAUACCGUCGUAGUCUUAACCAUAAACUAUGCCGACUAGGGAUCGGAUGAUGUUAAUUUUUUAAUGACUCAUUCG